CCUACGGGUGGCAGCAGUGAGGAAUAUUGGUCAAUGGACGAGAGUCUGAACCAGCCAAGUAGCGUGAAGGAUGACUGCCCUAUGAGUUGUAAACUUCUUUUAUAUGGGAAUAAAAUGUUACACGUGUGGGAUUUUGUAUGUACCAUAUGAAUAAGGAUCGGCUAACUCCGUGCCAGCAGCCGCGGUAAUACGGAGGAUCCGAGCGUUAUCCGGAUUUAUUGGGUUUAAAGGGAGCGUAGGUGGAUUGUUAAGUCAGUUGUGAAAGUUUGCGGCUCAACCGUAAAAUUGCAGUUGAAACUGGCAGUCUUGAGUACAGUAGAGGUGGGCGGAAUGCGUGGUGUAGCGGUGAAAUGCUUAGAUAUCACGAAGAACUCCGAUUGCGAAGGCAGUUCACUGGACUGCAACUGACACUGAGGCUCGAAAGUGUGGGUAUCAAACAGGAUUAGAUACCCUUGUAGUC
rnacentral:rRNA from 1 species